CUGGGAACGCCCACUCGCCGGCCCAGGACAGUUGUGGCACUUCUAAGCCUCACACUGCUUUCACAGGACCCAUUCCGAAUACCCUGUCGCGGAGAUAUCACAGGCGCUCCCCCGGCCCCCAAACACACAUCUCCUCGAUGGGAAUGGGAGCCUCAGGAAGCAGUGUGAGGCCCCGGCCGGCGACAGAAGUCCUGGCGCGACGGGACGACGCCAUUUUUGUUACUGGUAGAGCUCAGCUUCGCGGUUGUUUCUGAGCUUGCGAAAGAUUAAGUUCCCGCGUCAUCCAGACCUACCCAGGAGGGCUGCCAGGGAAAGGUCCUUUCGGGGAAUCGUAAACCCAUUUGGGCCAGCGAGGAGCCACGUCCGCCCGGAGAAGGAGUUUUGGGUCCUGAGAGCAGAGCUGGGCCAUUGAAGAAUGGUUAACCUAGCUUGAUCUCCGGAAGACUCUUCUGCACCCCAACUUGUCCCCAGUUGCUUUCAAAAGAGAAAUAGAAAAUGACGCUCAGGGCCAAUUUGACUUCAUCUUCUGAUUCAAGUUCAACAGAAGCCUCGCCACUUGGUCUGCCUUCUCUUGUGUAUAUGAAACGAAUACCUUGAGACCCAUUGUGAAUUUUGCAGUCAGAAAAAAGCCGCUGCACUUCAUCCGCCGAGCAAGACCAGGG